rfam:Gossypium hirsutum cultivar TM-1 chromosome 14, whole genome shotgun sequence
UGUUAAAAUUUUGAUCUAUUUGUAUUGUUAAAAAUUCACGUGGCUCACAGAAUAACUAGACAAUUACACGUGGUAUGUCGCAUGUACCUCAUGCGGACAUACAUGAACUAGUUUUUAAUAGUAGAAAAUGAUGGAAUUUUUAACA